CUCCGUGCUCAGCUCCACCACGAGCCUGUGACCUUGCCGAGUGAGUGACCUCUCCCAGCACAGCGGUACGGGCAAAUGUCUAACAACCGGCUCUUGGGGGAAAAACACAAGCCCUGAUCUGUACUUUGGCCCAUUUCUGUGGUGCAAAUACCCCACCACAGUGGAUUUCAAGCUGCAACAUGGUGAUACAAAAUGGAGUGCAGUGGACACUGUGACACAGCAGAUGCAAUGCUGUGGACGCAACCUCCAAGGCAUGGGUACUAGUGGAAUGUAAAAGAUGAUUGGUGAAUUUUGAGUAUUGAUUAUUUAUUGUUUUUAAUAUAAUUUACUUAAUUAUAAGUUUAUUUAAUUUUUAAUAAUGGCCGAAUUUAACCACUGGCUUGCCAGAUUCCUAAAAGUUGGACAUCAGCGCGGGCUCCUACGCAGCUGUCUCCACAUCUGUCUCUCUCGCCUGUGAAGUGGGAGUUACUCUAGCAACAGCGCUUAGUGGUGCAGAUGAAAGAAGACGGUGCAUCGAGCACACGGUGAAGAUCCGGGACGUCCUUGGUCAAGUGGAUGCCGGAUAGACAGUUACUGGCUCUCCCCUGGCGGGCCGGGGAAAGCAGCUGUGUGGGGGCUGGUAGGGAAAGAAGCAGCCGGACAAGUGUGAGCCUGGCCACCUGGGCUCGGGAGUCUGCCCUUGGGCCUGGCUUGACCACCACACAAUUCCCAUUGCCGGUGAGAAAUGCAGUUUAGGCAAACCUGCUCCUCCCCUCCACUCUACACCAGGCCCCUUAGAGUGUUUGCUAAAAUCCAGACCUCCUCUCGAGGUGGAUCAGGUUACUGAGCAAGGUGAUUAUUGUUCUAAUGAUCUGCAAACAGGUCCUCAACUGUUAACCCCUUGGCCUCUGGGGCCACUGGGACCAGCCAGACCGGCAGAGGCGAACUCAAGCACUGGGAGCCCAGGGGCUGAGAUAUGAAAAGCAGGAGGCUGGAUUUAGGAGGGUCCUGUGCUGGUGAACUCCAAGCGGAGCGCUCAGCGCCCAGGCGCGAAAGCCUUCCGUUAGCUCUCCAAGUGGUCCCGAGCAGGUGACAGCCAGUGGACGAGGAGCCAAUUAUGAGGAAGUCCGCACCUAGGAAGACUGUCUGGAAGGUUACUGCAUGAAAUAACGCACGCACAACAGUCAGCUCAGAGGGCCUCCUGACCCACUGCCAGGACGAAACGGAGCUGGGCCAACGAGUCCAGCUGGAAGGAGGAGAUGCCACAUUUGAGAGCAGAAGAUGCCAGGGACUGCAGCUUGCAAGAUCUCAGCCUCAAACCAGCUCUUUGUCUCUGGGCGAUUCACUUGGGGUCCCAGUUUCCUCAUCUGAAGAAGAGGAACAGCAACGCUAAGGAGAUGGAGCAGGAGCCGAGUUUCCAGGCACGGCCUUGGGAGGGAGAGAGUUGGCAGCUGUGAGAGGCUCAGGAGCAGGAGGGAGGUGGAGACGCAGGGCUUGAAAAUGAGGCGAGGCCGAUGGCGGGGCCGCAGCCGCCUCUGUACACACGCUGCGGAGUCCGUCUGUAGACACGCUGCAUCCUCUGAUGCAGCACCGAGGAGCUGUAACACCACCGACCUUUGCUCUGUUUCAAAAACUAAAACUCACUGUACCCUGGAAACUAAGCUGGGUCCUCUAGAUUCGAGUCUCAGCCCAGCGCUAGCCAUGGCAGCUGGGACAAGCUUCUCACCCGGGCCCUUCAGGAGCAUGUGCAAACCAGCCAGGUAAUGCAGACAGAGAAGUCUGUCAUGGCAAGUCACAGUGAUUGUGCGAGGAACAGAUCAGGGACCCAGAGGAAAGCAGUUCAAGGGACUCGGCGGUCAGCUCCCUCCAGGCUCAUCUCUCACUAUCCUUCUUCUUAGUUCCCCAGCCAAAUGGGACAGCCCUGCAGCCACACGCAGAGAUUUCCCGCUGGGCUCCUGGGGUUGCCUGAUCUGGGAGGCUCUGCCCUUGUCCCUGAAGAGUCACCUGCUUCCUUGCCUGGCCACUGAGCUCCAGGAUGAACAGGGUGUGGGCAUGAGCAAAGCAGGCCUGGGGUGGGACACUGGCCCCGCUCACUAAUGGGCAGGCGUGGAUUUGGGCCAGUCACCUAAUCUUACAUUCCCCGUGUGUAAUAGAGGGCCGGUAUUACCUUCCUUGGAAGGUUCUUGUGAGGACUAAAUUAGACAGCCAUAUUUAGCAUGAUGCUAGCACAUAGCAGGUGCUCGAAUAAGUAUUUGAGUGAAAAACAGCACAGAAUGAUCCAGGGGUGUUGGGGAGCUGUGAAGUGUGAGAUGUGAUCAGAAAAGGACCUGAGAUCACCAUCCGUGAACUUAGACGCCCUGUCUCUCUCCUUCACCUGACAGGGCGCCUGGCACAUGGCUGGCCCUUGAUCCAUGCUUGUCCACUGAGUUAGUCCCUGUGGGCAGCCAGCGAUGGCAAGCUGGAAAGUCUGGUGAUUGUUUUGUCCUCUCACUCAGCUGACACCCGUUAAGUGCCGACUGUGUCCCAGGAGAGGCAGCCAGGCCCUGCCUUCCAGAGGGCUAUGGGAAAGCCAGGUUUCAGGACAGAGCUGGUGAG